AUUGAACGCUGGCGGCAGGCCUAACACAUGCAAGUCGAGCGAGCGGCGGACGGGUGAGUAAUGCCUGGGAAUUGCCCAGUCGAGGGGAAUAAAAGUUGGAAACGACUGAUAAGAGCGCAUACGAUUGGAUUGCCCAGUUGGGAUUAGCAAGUUGGUGAGUUAAUGGCUCACCAAGGCGACGAUCCCUAGCUGGUCUGAGAGGAUGAUCAGCGACACUGGAACUGAGACACGGUCCAGACUCCUACGGGAGGCAGCAGUGGGGUAUAUUGGACAAUGGAGGAAAACCUGAUGCAGCCAUGCCGCGUGUGUGAAGAAGGCCUUCGGGUUGUAAAGCCAUUUCAGCGAGGAGGCGUUACUCGAAGAAGAAGCACCGGCUAACUCCGUGCCAGCAGCCGCGGUAAUAC
rnacentral:rRNA from 1 species